GAUGAAGAACGUAGCGAAAUGCGAUAAGUAAUGUGAAUUGCAGAAUUCAGUGAAUCAUCGAAUCUUUGAACGCACAUUGCGCCCGCCAGUAUUCUGGCGGGCAUGCCUGUCCGAGCGUCAUUUCAACCCUCGAACCCCUCCGGGGGUACGGCGUUGGGGAUCGGCCCUUUACGGGGCCGGCCCCGAAAUACAGUGGCGGUCUCGCCGCAGCCUCUCCUGCGCAGUAGUUUGCACACUCGCAUCGGGAGCGCGGCGCGUCCACGUCCGUAAAACACCCAACUUCUGAAAUGUUGACCUCGGAUCAGGUAGGAAUACCCGCUGAACUUAAGCAUAUCAAUAAGCGGAGGA
rnacentral:misc_RNA from 1 species